rnacentral:rRNA from 1 species
GACGAACGCUGGCGGCGUGCUUAACACAUGCAAGUCGAACGAAGAGCGAUGGAAGCUUGCUUCUAUCAAUCUUAGUGGCGAACGGGUGAGUAACGCGUAAUCAACCUGCCCUUCAGAGGGGGACAACAGUUGGAAACGACUGCUAAUACCGCAUACGAUCUAACCUCGGCAUCGAGGAUAGAUGAAAGGUGGCCUCUACAUGUAAGCUAUCACUGAAGGAGGGGAUUGCGUCUGAUUAGCUAGUUGGAGGGGUAACGGCCCACCAAGGCGAUGAUCAGUAGCCGGUCUGAGAGGAUGAACGGCCACAUUGGGACUGAGACACGGCCCAGACUCCUACGGGAGGCAGCAGUGGGGAAUCUUCCGCAAUGGACGAAAGUCUGACGGAGCAACGCCGCGUGAGUGAUGACGGCCUUCGGGUUGUAAAGCUCUGUUAAUCGGGACGAAAGGCCUUCUUGCGAAUAGUGAG